rnacentral:lncRNA from 1 species
CCAGCCUGAACUGCAUAUGUCUCAAAAAGACCAAAAAAAAACCAAAAACCAAAAAACCAACCACUGUGCCCUGAUCUGUGUCUCUUUUUAAGGGUGAAGAUAUCUGUCUCAGAAGCCUCUUAGUAUCUUUUCCCUCACAUUUUACUGGCAAGGAAAUCUGGUAACUAAGAUAUUGCGCUAGUCACAUAUAACAGUAAAGACAGGCAAAGUCCUUAGUCUUAUGCAAUAAUUUUUAUUGAAGUUGCUAAGGGACACUUUUCUUCUUUACCCAUUUCAGAACAUUGGCAAAAAGGACAUAUAGCAUGCGGAGAGGAGUUGAAGAGAGAGGAGAGGGAUGGGAAAAAAAGAAGAACAAAAAUAUAUCAUGUACAGCUCCUGGCAUAACCUAGUCUCUGAAGCAUCCAAUACAGAAGGUGGAACUGUUGUACACUCUGAUCCCAAAAGUAGACACUGAGAUGGGGGUUUGCAAGGAGGUGGUUUACUGUUACAGCUUCAAAGACCCUAACUGAAGUCAAGUCUCUUAGUACAUACUCCUGCAUUAAAGGGGUAAGAGGUUGCCGGCUGCUAUUGUUAUUAUUGUUGCUGUUACCAUUUUUAUUUUAUUUCAUACUUUUCCUUCUUAGCACUUGUCUAAGUCAUAAUUCUCCAUGUUUUCUAUAACUCUACUCUCUCCCUCCC